rnacentral:rRNA from 1 species
UACGUAGGGUGCAAGCGUUAAUCGGAAUUACUGGGCGUAAAGCGUGCGCAGGCGGUUUUGUAAGUUUGUCGUGAAAGCCCCGGGCUCAACCUGGGAAUUGCAUUCGAGACUGCAUUGCUGGAGUACGGAAGAGGAGGGCGGAAUUCCCGGUGUAGCGGUGAAAUGCGUAGAUAUCGGGAGGAACAUCAGUGGCGAAGGCGGCCCUCUGGUCCAGUACUGACACUCAAGUGCGAAAGCGUGGGGAGCAAACACGG